rnacentral:rRNA from 1 species
AUUGAACGCUGGCGGCAUGCCUUACACAUGCCAGUCGAACGGCAGCACGGGUGCUUGCACCUGGUGGCGAGUGGCGAACGGGUGAGUAAUACAUCGGAACAUGUCCUGUAGUGGGGGAUAGCCCGGCGAAAGCCGGAUUAAUACCGCAUACGAUCUACGGAUGAAAGCGGGGGACCUUCGGGCCUCGCGCUAUAGGGUUGGCCGAUGGCUGAUUAGCUAGUUGGUGGGGUAAAGGCCUACCAAGGCGACGAUCAGUAGCUGGCCUGAGAGGACGACCAGCCACACUGGGACUGAGACACGGCCCAGACUCCUACGGGAGGCAGCAGUGGGGAAUUUUGGACAAUGGGCGAAAGCCUGAUCCAGCAAUGCCGCGUGUGUGAAGAAGGCCUUCGGGUUGUAAAGCACUUUUGUCCGGAAAGAAAUCCUUGGCCCUAAUACGGUCGGGGGAUGACGGUACCGGAAGAAUAAGCACCGGCUAACUACGUG